GCAACUCUGUUCAUCUAGGCUCCCAAAGUUGAUCCGCAAGUGGCUCCACAACCUCAGCAGUUUCAUCAAUCUAUCCCGCCAAAGCCAGCCAUUCAACCUCAUAUGUCAUCUGGUUUCGGAUUACAAGAGCCAGUAGCUACAAGACGCAACCUCCUCAGCAUCAUUUUCAACACAUUUUUUAAUUGGUUUUCUUUGGUUUCCAUCAUUGUGAUUUAUGUUUUUGACUAGCUAUAGCUCGUUAACUGAACCAAUCUAUAGUCAGGUUCCCGCAGGGACAGCCACAUCUGCCUAGUCCACUACCAUAUCUUACAUUUUAGGCGAUAUGUUCUGUGGUUUUUGCUGAUUGGCUAUGCAAUUAUGUUGAUUUGUCUCUUGUGCUUUCUCCUAUAUGGAAACUCCAGAAAUAAUCCUCUCAUAUGUGUUCAUUGUCAUCUAAUUUCCACCUCUGUUUACGUUGAAAUCAGUUUUUUGCUUAAAACAAUAGGCAACCUAAAUGGAAAUUCUGCAGGUUUUAGUAAAAUGUCUUUUGUUUCAGGUUGGAACUCAGUUUCGUGGAAAAUACAAUAAUCACCAAUUAGGAGGUCCGAUGGCUGCAGAUAGAGGUUCUUCUUGGAUGGCUCAAACAUUACUCAUCUCCCAAGCUUAGGACCUGUCCCUUCACCAAGCCAAGUUGGACCUGGAAGUGGCCCUCCACCUCGCCCUCACCGAUAUCUGCAGAGAUGGAGAAGGCACUGAAUGCUUCAACAUGUGAUAAUUUUCUGCCACCAGAACAGAGAAAUCAAGUCCUUCAGCUCAUCUUACCAAAAAAAAGUCCUUCAGCUCCAAGAGAUUCUCCGACAGUGAAGCUCGUUGAUACAAUCGCUUGGUCUCCAACUCUCCAUGUUAUAACUUAGAAGGUUUUGGGUUUGAAUGUAUGGUAUGAGUCAAGUUUGACAUAAUUUGUACAAAAGAAGUAAUUAUAUAUUUUUUAAGUUCAGUGAAUCACUGACACAUGAUACUUUGGUCA